rnacentral:rRNA from 1 species
UACGAAGGGGGCUAGCGUUGCUCGGAAUUACUGGGCGUAAAGGGCGCGUAGGCGGCACUGUUAGUCAGGCGUGAAAUUCCUGGGCUCAACCUGGGGACUGCGCUUGAUACGGCAGAGCUUGAGGAUGGAAGAGGUCGCGGAAUUCCCAGUGUAGAGGUGAAAUUCGUAGAUAUUGGGAAGAACACCGGUGGCGAAGGCGGCGACCUGGUCCAUUACUGACGCUGAGGCGCGACAGCGUGGGGAGCAAACAGG